rnacentral:rRNA from 1 species
GACGUAGGGCGCGAGCGUUGUCCGGAUUUAUUGGGCGUAAAGAGCUCGUAGGCGGCUUGUCGCGUCGGCUGUGAAAACCCGCGGCUCAACCGUGGGCGGGCAGCUGAUACGGGCAGGCUGGAGUUCGGUAGGGGAGACUGGAAUUCCUGGUGUAGCGGUGAAAUGCGCAGAUAUCAGGAGGAACACCAAUUGCGAAGGCAGCUCGCUGGGACGUUACUGACGCUGAGACGCGAAAGCGUGGGGAGCGAACAGG